AUUGAACGCUGGCGGCAUGCCUUACACAUGCAAGUCGAACGGUAACGGGUCCUUCGGGAUGCCGACGAGUGGCGAACGGGUGAGUAAUAUAUCGGAACGUGCCCAGUAGUGGGGGAUAACUGCUCGAAAGAGCAGCUAAUACCGCAUACGACCUGAGGGUGAAAGGGGGGGAUCGCAAGACCUCUCGCUAUUGGAGCGGCCGAUAUCAGAUUAGCUAGUUGGUGGGGUAAAGGCCUACCAAGGCAACGAUCUGUAGUUGGUCUGAGAGGACGACCAGGCACACUGGGACUGGGACACGGCACAGACUCGUACGGGAGGCAGCAGUGGGGAAUUUUGGACAAUGGGCGCAAGCCUGAUCCAGAAAUGCCGCGUGCAGGAAGAAGGCCUUCGGGUUGUAAACUGCUUUUGUCAGGGAAGAAAUCUUCUGGGCUAAUACCCCGGGAGGAUGACGGUACCUGAAGAAUAAGCACCGGCUAACUACGCGCCAGCCGCCGCGGUAA
rnacentral:rRNA from 1 species